rnacentral:tRNA from 1 species
GGGCGCGUCGCCAGGUUGGUCCAAGGCGCCGGACUUUGAUUCCGGUGACCGCUGGUCCGAAUCCAGCCGCGCUCACCA